UACGGAGGGUGCAAGCAUUAAUCGGAAUUACUGGGCGUAAAGCGUGCGCAGGCGGUUUGUUAAGUCUGCUGUGAAAUCCCUGAGCUCAACUUGGGAAUUGCAGUGGAUACUGGCAAGCUGGAGUACGGUAGAGGAAGGUGGAAUUCCCGGUGUAGCAGUGAAAUGCGUAGAGAUCGGGAGGAACACCAGUGGCGAAGGCGGCCUUCUGGACCAGUACUGACGCUCAUGCACGAAAGCGUGGGGAGCAAACAGG
rnacentral:rRNA from 1 species